rnacentral:rRNA from 1 species
AGCGAACGCUGGCGGCAGGCCUAACACAUGCAAGUCGAACGAACCUUUCGGGGUUAGUGGCGGACGGGUGAGUAACGCGUGGGAACGUGCCUUUAGGUUCGGAAUAACUCAGGGAAACUUGUGCUAAUACCGAAUGUGCCCUUCGGGGGAAAGAUUAAUCGCCUUUAGAGCGGCCCGCGUCUGAUUAGCUAGUUGGUUGAGGUAAUGGCUCACCAAGGCGACGAUCAGUAGCUGGUCUGAGAGGAUGAUCAGCCACAUUGGGACUGAGACACGGCCCAAAGUCCUACGGGAGGCAGCAGUAGGGAAUCUUGCGCAAUGGGCGAAAGCCUGACGCAGCCAUGCCGCGUGAAUGAUGAAGGUCUGAGGAUUGUAAAAUUCUUUCACCGGGGACGAUAAUGACGGUACCCGGAGAAGAAGCCCCGGCUAACUUCGUG